rnacentral:ncRNA from 1 species
GCUGAUAGAUUUAUAUUAUUACAGAGCGUUAAUUUUUCGGAAUUAUAUAAUGGCAUAAUUAUCAUUGAUUUUUGUGUUUAUUAUAUGCUCUUGUAUGAUUAACAAUGCGAAAGAUUCAGGAUACCUUCGGGACCCGUCUUGAAACACGGACCAAGGAGUCUAACAUAUGUGCAAGUUAUUGGGAUGUAAACCUAAUAGCGUAAUUAACUUGACUAAUAAUGGGAUUAGUUUUUUAGCUAUUUAUAGCUAAUUAACACAAUCCCGGGGCGUUCUAUAUAGUUAUGUAUAAUGUAUAUUUAUAUUAUUUAUGCCUCUAACUGGAACGUACCUUGAGCAUAUAUGCUGUGACCCGAAAGAUGGUGAACUAUACUUGAUCAGGUUGAAGUCAGGGGAAACCCUGAUGGAAGACCGAAACAGUUCUGACGUGCAAAUCGAUUGUCAGAAUUGAGUAUAGGGGCGAAAGACCAAUCGAACCAUCUAGUAGCUGGUUCCUUCCGAAGUUUCCCUCAGGAUAGCUGGUGCAUUUUAAUAUUAUAUAAAAUAAUCUUAUCUGGUAAAGCGAAUGAUUAGAGGCCUUAGGGUCGAAACGAUCUUAACCUAUUCUCAAACUUUAAAUGGGUAAGAACCUUAACUUUCUUGAUAUGAAGUUCAAGGUUAUGAUAUAAUGUGCCCAGUGGCCACUUUUGGUAAGCAGAACUGGCGCUGUGGGAUGAACCAAACGUAAUGUUACGGUGCCCAAAUUAACAACUCAUGCAGAUACCAUGAAAGGCGUUGGUUGCUUAAAACAGCAGGACGGUGAUCAUGGAAGUCGAAAUCCGCUAAGGAGUGUGUAACAACUCACCUGCCGAAGCAACUAGCCCUUAAAAUGGAUGGCGCUUAAGUUGUAUACCUAUACAUUACCGCUAAAGUAGAUGAUUUAUAUUACUUGUGAUAUAAAUUUUGAAACUUUAGUGAGUAGGAAGGUACAAUGGUAUGCGUAGAAGUGUUUGGCGUAAGCCUGCAUGGAGCUGCCAUUGGUACAGAUCUUGGUGGUAGUAGCAAAUAAUCGAAUGAGACCUUGGAGGACUGAAGUGGAGAAGGGUUUCGUGUGAACAGUGGUUGAUCACGAGUUAGUCGGUCCUAAGUUCAAGGCGAAAGCCGAAAAUUUUCAAGUAAAACAAAAAUGCCUAACUAUAUAAACAAAGCGAAUAUAAUACACUUGAAUAAUUUUGAACGAAAGGGAAUACGGUUCCAAUUCCGUAACCUGUUGAGUAUCCGUUUGUUAUUAAAUAUGGGCCUCGUGCUCAUCCUGGCAACAGGAACGACCAUAAAGAAGCCGUCGAGAGAUAUCGGAAGAGUUUUCUUUUCUGUUUAUAGCCGUACUACCAUGGAAGUCUUUCGCAGAGAGAUAUGGUAGAUGGGCUAGAAGAGCAUGACAUAUACUGUUGUGUCGAUAUUUUCUCCUCGGACCUUGAAAAUUUAUGGUGGGGACACGCAAACUUCUCAACAGGCCGUACCAAUAUCCGCAGCUGGUCUCCAAGGUGAAGAGUCUCUAGUCGAUAGAAUAAUGUAGGUAAGGGAAGUCGGCAAAUUAGAUCCGUAACUUCGGGAUAAGGAUUGGCUCUGAAGAUUGAGAUAGUCGGGCUUGAUUGGGAAACAAUAACAUGGUUUAUGUGCUCGUUCUGGGUAAAUAGAGUUUCUAGCAUUUAUGUUAGUUACUUGUUCCCCGGAUAGUUUAGUUACGUAGCCAAUUGUGGAACUUUCUUGCUAAAAUUUUUAAGAAUACUAUUUGGGUUAAACCAAUUAGUUCUUAUCAAUUAUAACGAUUAUCAAUUAACAAUCAAUUCAGAACUGGCACGGACUUGGGGAAUCCGACUGUCUAAUUAAAACAAAGCAUUGUGAUGGCCCUAGCGGGUGUUGACACAAUGUGAUUUCUGCCCAGUGCUCUGAAUGUCAAAGUGAAGAAAUUCAAGUAAGCGCGGGUCAACGGCGGGAGUAACUAUGACUCUCUUAAGGUAGCCAAAUGCCUCGUCAUCUAAUUAGUGACGCGCAUGAAUGGAUUAACAAGAUUCCUACUGUCCCUAUCUACUAUCUAGCGAAACCACAGCCAAGGG